AAUUUUUGACAAUGGGGGAAACCCUGACACAGCAAUCCCGCGUGCAGGAUGAAGGCCNNNGGGUUNUCAACUGUUCUUGUACGNAACNAAAAGCUUUGGCCUAAUACCCUGGGACCAUGACGGUACCGUCAGAAGAAGCACUGGUUAACUACGUGCCAGCAGCCGCAGUAAUACGUAGGGUGCAAGCGUUAAUCGGAUUUACUUGGCGUAAAGCGUACGCAGGCGGUUUUGUAAGACAGUGGUGAAAUCCCCGGGCUCAACCUGGGAACUGCCAUUGUGACUGCAAGGCUGGAGUGCGGCAGAGGGGGAUGGAAUUCCGCGUGUAGCAGUGAAAUGCGUAGAUAUGCGGAGGAACACCGAUGGCGAAGGCAAUCCCCUGGGCCUGCACUGACGCUCAUGCACGAAAGCGUGGGGAGCAAACAGG
rnacentral:rRNA from 1 species